rnacentral:rRNA from 1 species
UACGAGGGGGGCAAGCGUUGUUCGGAAUUAUUGGGCGUAAAGGGUGCGUAGGCGGUUUGAUAAGUCACAUGUGAAAUCUUCGGGCUCAACCCGAAGUCUGCAUGCGAAACUGUCGGGCUUGAGUAUGGGAGAGGUGAGUGGAAUUUCCGGUGUAGCGGUGAAAUGCGUAGAUAUCGGAAGGAACACCUGUGGCGAAAGCGGCUCACUGGACCAUAACUGACGCUGAUGCACGAAAGCUAGGGGAGCAAACAGGAUUAGAUACCCUGGUAGUCCUAGCCCUAAACGAUGAUUGCUUGAUGUGGUGGGUACCCAAUCCUACCGUGUCGAAGCUAACGCGAUAAGCAAUCCGCCUGGGGAGUACGGUCGCAAGGCUGAA